UCACUUUUCUGAUUUUAGAAACACAAGAAAUAAGAAGACCAUUUUGAGAAGAACAGAGAGUAGCCUUAAGAAAAUCCCUGUCGCAAGCACUCUGGGAUUUGGACUCAAAUGCUAAUUAUACAUGGUAACCUUAAUAUGUACAAUACACAUUCUUGUUUAUGGAAUAUGAGUACUCAGGAUGUCCAUCAAAUUAUUUUGGUCAGUUUUAAUUUUUGUAGUGUUUAAA
rnacentral:lncRNA from 1 species